CAUGGCCCAUAUUUGGAGCUGAUGUGCUGAAGGAUAGAGAGGAAGAGAAAGCUGUAGUUCCUCACCAGAGCCAAGCAGCCCCUCUGAGAGGACAGUGCUGCAGCAACUCUCUGUGCAUACAAAUAUUUGUCAGUAUCUCUGACAUUUCCUGGGAAUGGAUUCCUAGAAAGGAGAUUACUAAAUUAAAGGAAGUGAAUUUCUA
rnacentral:lncRNA from 1 species